rnacentral:rRNA from 1 species
GAUGAACGCUGGCGGCGUGCUUAACACAUGCAAGUCGAACGGUGAAGCAGAGCUUGCUCUGUGGAUCAGUGGCGAACGGGUGAGUAACACGUGAGCAAUCUGCCCCUGACUCUGGGAUAAGCGCUGGAAACGGCGUCUAAUACCGGAUACGAGCUGCGACCGCAUGGUCAGUAGCUGGAAAGAAUUUCGGUCAGGGAUGAGCUCGCGGCCUAUCAGCUUGUUGGUGAGGUAAUGGCUCACCAAGGCGUCGACGGGUAGCCGGCCUGAGAGGGUGACCGGCCACACUGGGACUGAGACACGGCCCAGACUCCUACGGGAGGCAGCAGUGGGGAAUAUUGCACAAUGGGCGCAAGCCUGAUGCAGCAACGCCGCGUGAGGGAUGACGGCCUUCGGGUUGUAAACCUCUUUUAGCAGGGAAGAAGCGAAAGUGACGGUACCUGCAGAAAAAGCGCCGGCUAACUACGUGCCAGCAGCCGCGGUAAUACGUAGGGCGCAAGCGUUAUCCGGAAUUAUUGGGCGUAAAGAGCUCGUAGGCGGUCUGUCGCGUCUGCUGUGAAAACCCGAGGCUCAACCUCGGGCCUGCAGUGGGUACGGGCAGACUAGAGUGCGGUANGGGGAGAUUGGAAUUCCUGGUGUAGCGGUGGAAUGCGCAGAUAUCAGGAGGAACACCGAUGGCGAAGGCAGAUCUCUGGGCCGUAACUGACGCUGAGGAGCGAAAGGGUGGGGAGCAAACAGGCUUAGAUACCCCUGGUAGUCCACCCCGUAAACGUUGGGAACUAGUUGUGGGGUCCAUUCCACGGAUUCCGUGACGCAGCUAACGCAUUAAGUUCCCCGCCUGGGGAGUACGGCCGCAAGGCUAAAACUCAAAGGAAUUGACGGGGACCCGCACAAGCGGCGGAGCAUGCGGAUUAAUUCGAUGCAACGCGAAGAACCUUACCAAGGCUUGACAUAUAGAGGAAACGUCUGGAAACAGUCGCCCCGCAAGGUCUCUAUACAGGUGGUGCAUGGUUGUCGUCAGCUCGUGUCGUGAGAUGUUGGGUUAAGUCCCGCAACGAGCGCAACCCUCGUUCUAUGUUGCCAGCACGUAAUGGUGGGAACUCAUGGGAUACUGCCGGGGUCAACUCGGAGGAAGGUGGGGAUGACGUCAAAUCAUCAUGCCCCUUAUGUCUUGGGCUUCACGCAUGCUACAAUGGCCGGUACAAAGGGCUGCAAUACCGUGAGGUGGAGCGAAUCCCAAAAAGCCGGUCCCAGUUCGGAUUGAGGUCUGCAACUCGACCUCAUGAAGUCGGAGUCGCUAGUAAUCGCAGAUCAGCAACGCUGCGGUGAAUACGUUCCCGGGUCUUGUACACACCGCCCGUCAAGUCAUGAAAGUCGGUAACACCUGAAGCCGGUGGCCCAACCCUUGUGGAGGGAGCCGUCGAAGGUGGGAUCGGUAAUUAGGACUAAGUCG